GCAGGCUCUAUAACAUGUUUUCGAUUUCCCGCGAAAAUUAUUAGUAAAGUAUAGUAAAAAAGAAGAUUCGAUAAUUUAUGUUGAGGUUUUUAUAUAUUUUGGAAUAGAAAGAGCAAACGCGUGGAUAAAUGUGUUAUAGAAAUUCUUUAUGUGGAAAUGUUAGAAAUUAGGAUUUCCAGUAGUUUCUAUCCUAUGUGAUAAUGUAUCGACAGAUGGAUUUAUUGCAGUGGAUUAAACGAUGAUUAUUUAAGGUGAACUUAUAUCAUAACUCUAGAUUAACGACUAUUCACUCUUGACUCUCCGACGGCUAACUGAACAUCAACUGCUGCGGUGCCGAAAUAUAUUGAUGGGCCGUUAGGCCUAUUGAAGUUUUUCGACCCUUUCGGCUUAUCGGCAUUUGCGUUUUAUCGUCGACGUCUGUAUGUCGGCGAUCUUUUCGCGGUACUACAACAGAGACGAAAGAAGCCGUUGUAAAGAGAAUCGUUGUGCCAAAAACUAAACAACAGAGUUUUCCUAGAAGUGAGACCCAUUUCAACAAUUUGUAAAAGAGCAUGAACAGAUAAAAGAUAGCGAAGAUGAUGAUGGCGAAGGGGAAAGUUGAUGGAGUUAGGUAGUUGUCGGAUAGUACGGAAAGUGGAAACUAAAUUGGGUAUUACGCAUAGCGGCUACGUUAUCACGGAAGGCUGGCAGUCGGCCGGAUAUCGAGUGUCAAUAUCCAAAGGAUGUUGGCGCAAUAUCGGAUGAACGGUUCUGAAACACGGCCACCCUAUCUCGGACAUGCCACGGCAUUAAUAUUCCGCGCAAGUUACGAUGCGACCAUCUUCUUGUUUUCAUCGUUGAUAGGAAUACUCGCGCAACGCGAUACGAACUAGCGCCAUUUUCUCCACCAAAAUCACGUUCUCGCAAUUCAAUUUUACAUUGUUGAGGUUGACUGAUAGAGGAAUGAAUGGAUGAAUUUGUAAUAGAAAAAUAUAUUGAAAUAAGUAUAGGUAUAAGUGUAACUACAGGUAUAGUGUAUGAAGUCAAAACCAAAUGAACGGUUAUCAUUAUUUAUUAAAUUUAUGUAUGAUAUUGUUGAGGUUAACUUAUAGAGGAAUGAGUGGGUAAAUUUGUAAUAUAAAAAUAUAUUGAAAUAAGUAUAAGUACAGGUAUAGUGUAUGAGGUCAAAACCAAAUAAACGGUUAUCAUUACUUAUUAAUUUAAUGUAUAGUAUUGUUGAGGUUAAGUGAUAGAGGAACGAGUGGACGAACUUAUAUCUAUAAUUAUUUCAAUAUAUUUUUCUAUUAUAAGUAUAUUGUAUGCUGAUCCAGAUCCUCACUUUUUCAGUGUUACAAUACAAUAGAAUAUCAUAUGGAGCUCGUUUAUAUAUUUAUAGCAAAGGACAUUACCAGAAAGUUAACCUUAUAGCUUUGGCUGAAGGCUACAAGAAAGCAAUAGAAACCUACUUCUAGACCUUGUUUGUAGACCUUGCAACGCAAAACAAAAUUUAUAUUCAAGGCCACAAUAAUAUGCACCUCUCCUUAUUUAGAAAAUCUUUUGUUUCACUAAAUUCUAUUCUCUUUGUCACAGUUACGUCCAGGUCCAUACAAAAGGAAAGGUGUAGAGCUUUUCUUGAAUUAACAUAAAUUAAAUUCACGUUGUUAUCAGCUUGCAAGUUGGUUAAAGAAUGCUUCAUCGCUGGUUUGCAAGCAAUUUGUGCAUUUAUUCAAAGUACAAUAUCAGAAGGCAAAAUGAGCAAAUCUCAAAUUCGUCGAAGCAACAAAUGCUUACACCAUUGGCUUAUCUCGACUAUUUAUUCGGCGAUAACGAUGAUAUUCGCAAACUAACAAUUGGUAAUUGGCGAAUAAUACAGCGUGCAGAUUUUAUUCUUAUAACUUGAAAUAUUUUAAGAAAAAGCUGAAGCUUAAGGAAGACUACACGGGAGAAAUAGGAUCGUGCAAAGCGAUGGGUGCCGAAAUCAACGAUAAAAAACGCCAGGAGAUGAUGAGAAGGAAAGCUACUCUCCUCGGGUUCGCAAAAUUCAACCAGAAAAUACGCGUCAAUUACAGUAAUUAGCAUUUUGUGUGGAGGAAACAUUUCCGUUGCGCUCAGUCUGCCUGCAUCGUGCAAAUUCACCGCGAAAAUCGUUUAAACAGAUCCAUUAAAUUUUUUCGGCCACGUUGCUUUCGCCGUCCGACUGUAAAUGAAAAUUUCACCAACGCGACGAGCUUGUAAACCAACCAUGCGACAUUUCGAAUUCUGACUUUGUAAUUAUACUAGCCGAUAAAUCGCAUCGUUUCAUAUAUAUAUAUAUAUAUAUUGGUGCACCAGCUAUCACUGUUCUUUUCACUAAUCGAACGUUUAUAUAUAUAUUAUAUAUCGAUAUAUUUAAUUAAUCUAUAUUUGUAUCAUAUAUAAUUAAUCAAUGUAUAUGAAUACCAAUGAAUUAUAUAUAUAUAUAAUUAGUAGAUGAUAAUACGCAAUAUAUAUAUAUAUUUAUUAACAAUAUAUAUUAUAUAUCAAUAUAUUUAAUUAAUCUAUAUGUAUACCAUAUAUAAUUAAUCAAUGUAUGUGAAUACCAAUGAAUUAAUCUCGAGAUACGUAAAUUACGUUCGUAACAACGAGGAUAUUCAUUUAUUAUCGAGAGUAGAUAUACUGAUGCAACUUAAUAAUUCAUCGUAAUUAAUGCAGUCGGAACAUGCAAUUUUAGGUCGAUUCCGUAAUUUUCGUAAUAUUCAUGUACGUUACAUAUAAAUACAUUUAUAGCUGAAAUUUUGAUACCGUUCCUGUUUUCUCGAAUCCUGUAGAAAUCUGUGCAUAAAGGGUUAUGCAAAAGAAAACGGUUUUUCAGGUAUACCGGGACGAAUAUAUCUUAAAGAUGCAACAGUCGAAUGGAAGCGUUCAAAAGAGUAGAUUCUUUUGAAGUAUCGAACGAAAGCGAAGUAGAAUAGCGUAAAGCCGAGAGAACUCGAACCUCUCGAUAUGUACGGUCGAGGUCUAAGCUCGGGAUUAUCCUUCGACUACGAGUAUUAAGGAACAAGAUCGAAAAUUUGAAUCGACAUCGUGAAUUUGAGAUUUCAAAUGAACGAAUUUGAAGCCAAGAUGUUCUUUUAUCGAGAAAGUUCAAAGAUAAUGUUCCUUCUCCAAUCCUCGAUGAAAGAUUUCACGCCAUCUUUCGACACCAAAUUACAGGAAAAUCGAGAAUUGUUAAUUUGAAAUACGAAUCGAUUCAAACUAGUGAAAAAACGAUUCGAUUGUUAUAUCGAAGCAAAUACUAGUAAUCGCUCUUGUCGUGGGGAAAUAUGAUGCCCUGAAGGUAGCUAAUUUUCUUUCUCUCUCAAUAUUUUAGUACCUUUUUUACGUCUCUAUCGAUAAUCUAAUCGAUAAUGGUCUCGAAUCGCAAACAAUUUCAGACGAGAAGCUGAAAUAUCGAGCUUGUUAGUCUAUCAAAUUGUUUAAUCGUUCUGUAAAUUUGAUGCGUCGUUAUGAGUUGUUGUUACGUAAUUACCAUUUCAAGAGAAUAAUAAAAGUAGUCUAUAACGUAGUUUUACGAUGCAAAUCAAUAAUAUUAGAAUAUGAACGUGAUAUAGCCUUGCGAGGAUUUACAAAACACGAUCUUAAUUUGCAAUUGCAAUGAUUAAUAAAGUAUAAUUAUAACCUAUUAUCAUAGAACCAUAAAUUAUAGGUUAAGAUUGAAUAAAGUAUCCAAAUCUAUCGAUUCUUAUAAUAAAACUCUCUAUUGACACGAUAUAUAUUUUUAUAAGCACAGAAUUACUAUUUUUGUUUCAUUGAAAUUUGUAAUGCGAAUUAGAAAGAUAGCCCAUUAAUAUCAGUUGCAUAAAUCGAGACUCAGCAACAAGGAGAGUUUCUUCUUGUUCUUAUCUUUGGCUAAAGAGAUCUACUUUUAUCGAGUUUUCCAUAGCGCUCGAUUACGCUUGAUUUUAAUUGCGUUUUCUUUUCGUGCAUUUUCGCCAAUAUCUCUUGUUUUCGUAUCGACUACUUUAUCUUAUUAUUAUUGAUUUCUUGUCGUUUUAGUAUCGUUCUACCUUCGCAAAUAACUUGUUUUUCGAUCGAGUUCGUUCUACGUUUGAAUAUUCGAUGAUCGUUCUUGUUUAUCGACCGUCAGGUAAAUCUAAAUUAAGCUACAAUUAGAUAACGUACAGUUGAGAGGACUUUGUUAACGGUACAAGUUCGGUCACGACGUGCUCACGGUUUCGACAAAUAACGCAGUUCGUUGUAACCCUAUCGACGCUAUGGAUCGUGACUGGAACUACUAACGGUUUACUCCACUUAACGAGCACUGAAUAACAUCGUGAGACGAUAUGACUUCUUUUAUAUUACUUUAUCAAAACAAAUAGUUAAAAUUACACUAGAUUUGGACAAUUUUAUGUACUAGUUUGUGCACACGCAAUGAGGAAAUUGGGUAUCAUGAGAUAACCUCUUUAUACUAUGGAUCUUCCAAAGAAUAGAAGUUGGAAUGCAUUUAAAAAAGAAAUUUCUGAUAAAUGUCGGAGAAUGGGCCACACACAUUAAUAUUGAGAGAAACGCCAUCUAAGGAGUUUGAAAGUUGACGGUGAAAAUUUAACUAUACGAUUGCGAAUAUCGCGACACCUAUAUAUUUGAUGGAUUACGAUACAAAUCUGUCGUUCGUUUGCUUCGAUGCGCGACAAACUUAGAAAGCAACUACAUAUUUGUUUCUAUUUCUUACUUAAACUUCUUGAUUCUAUAAAAAUUUUCAAUAUCUUUGCUACACGUCGGAGAUGGAAGUUUACCCGUUUCAAAACGAACGUGUUGAAAAGUUGCACGUAAUAUAAAACGUGUCUAGGAAAGAUAAACGCAAGUAGUUCGAUCCAACGUUAACCUAAAAGUAGCGUUAUCGAUAUACGUAGGAUCUGUCGGUACAAUCUUAAAAAUCCGAAUUACAUACCAAUGAAAGCGUCGAUUCAAUUUGAAUGAAAAUAGUGCUUCUCUUUUUAUUUUCUUUCCUUUCACGUCCAUAUAUCUACGAUCUUACGUUUUUCGAUAUAAGAAAAUUCGGGUUUCGACUAAACCCGGUGGAUAGGAAAUUGUUGUCGAAAAAGUCUAACGAACAGUAUCAUUAAAUGUUAGAAAACUAUUAAAAGACGCAUCAAAGCUUCAGAUAUAAAAAAAAAGUUGUAAUUUGAUGGGAGUCAAAAUUUGUUCAUUCUUUGAAGAAUUUGGUUAACUGCGAUUUUUAUCACAAUAUAUUUUGCAAAUGGAUGUCGUAUCUAUGGUUAAAAAUAAAAUUCCAUUUAUGCCAAGAGAUUUUCAGAAAUUAUGUAAUUAAAAUAUCACCUGGUAGAUAUUUGGAAAAAUGAAAAUCUUAGUUCUAACCUUUUAAAACUAAGCAACUGCGUAUUUUGCAAACUUCUUAUCCAGAACUAAAUGGAGAAUAUAGCCCUAUAUAUUCAGGCAACUUUUAAGCAAAUAUCGUUGAUAAAACAAGGCAAAUUUCACCUCAGUUCUACGUAAAUAAUGCAUGCUUCCUGGACAAAGUUUUCUCUGCUGAACUCUGGGAAAACUUUAUAGAUUUAUAUUCCCGUUACCACGACUGCAGUUUUUGAAACUUUCUCGCGCAUACGCUUUGUGAUUUUUUCUUUCCCUUUACUCCUUUUAAACCGUGGAAUCGAAGAUGAUUCGUAUCGAACUACGUGAGUCUAAUUUCUAAAUCGAUCACUCGUAUAUCGCACGUUUAGCGCACAAUUUCUCUUACGACUAAUCGAUUAUUAAUCCCUGAGUAAGAAAUACAUUCGUCGUUGAUUCUCUUCGUUGAACAGUGCACUUAUUGAGAUACGUGUAAUUUUGUGUGGUACACUGGAUUAGCCGCGUAGUAGUGUCACACAUAUAUGAAUGUGUGUGGUAGUAUGUGCGUGCGCAGCGUCUCGUAAAACAGAAGAAUGCAACUGUUCCAUAAGCAUGGUUUUAAGGAAGAUGGUGAGACAAAAAGAAUGCUGAGACGUGUGCAAUGUGUAUCUACGAAUAUCUUGUAAAUCACAUAUUGAAUAAAUCUGAAGCUAUUUUAAUAUCAUUUCUA